rnacentral:rRNA from 1 species
UAUCAUGUAGGGAAUCUUCGGCAAUGGACGAAAGUCUGACCGAGCAACGCCGCGUGAGUGAAGAAGGUUUUCGGAUCGUAAAACUCUGUUGUUAGAGAAGAACAAGUGAGAGAGUUACUGUUCUCACCUUGACGGUAUCUAACCAGAAAGCCACGGCUAACUACGUGCCAGCAGCCGCGGUAAUACGUAGGUGGCAAGCGUUGUCCGGAUUUAUUGGGCGUAAAGCGAGCGCAGGCGGUUUCUUAAGUCUGAUGUGAAAGCCCUCGGCUCAACCGAGGAAGGUCAUUGGAAACUGGGGAACUUGAGUGCAGAAGA